CCUUGUACACACCGCCCGUCACACCAUGGGAGUCGGUUUCUCCAGAAGCGCCUGAGCCAACCCGCAAGGGAGGCAGGGUUCCAAGGAUAGGCCGGUAACUGGGGUG
rnacentral:rRNA from 1 species